UCAACAUAAUGCUACCUGUUUGACCCCGUCUUCAUUGGAACCCUAUGCACUGUAGCACAUUUGCUUUCAGUUCAAACCUUUCGUUCUCCUGUUCCACCCCUCAAUUUCUCCCUCCUUCUGUGUUAUACAUUGAUAACAAUGUCCACCUUCGGAGCCGCAAAUACCAAUCCCAACAAAUCCUUUGAGGUAGCCCAACCGCCCUCUGAUUCAAUUUCAAGUCUUUCGUUCAGUCCCAAGGCCAAUUUCCUCGUCGCUACUUCAUGGGAUAAUCAGGUUCGUUGUUGGGAGAUAACAAGGAAUGGGACUGUUGUCUCCAGUACUCCCAAGGCUUCCAUUUCUCAUGACCAGCCGGUUUUGUGCUCUGCUUGGAAGGAUGAUGGAACAACCGUUUUUUCUGGGGGCUGCGACAAGCAGGUCAAGAUGUGGCCACUUACUUCUGGUGGACAACCAAUGACUGUUGCGAUGCACGAUGCACCUGUGAAAGAUCUUGCCUGGAUACCGGAGAUGAAUCUUUUAGCUACUGGAAGCUGGGACAAGACCCUGAAGUAUUGGGAUACAAGGCAACCAAAUCCAGUGCAUACACAACAACUUCCUGAGCGGUGUUAUGCAAUAACAGUCAAACAUCCUCUGAUGGUAGUGGGGACUGCAGAUAGAAAUCUGAUUGUCUUCAACUUGCAAAACCCUCAGACUGAAUACAAGAGAAUUGUAUCUCCACUGAAAUAUCAGACAAGAUGUGUUGCGGCUUUUCCAGAUCAACAAGGUUUUUUGGUUGGAUCAAUAGAAGGAAGGGUUGGAGUACAUCACCUGGAUGAUGCACAACAAAGCAAGAAUUUUACUUUUAAAUGCCACAGAGAGAACAAUGAGAUAUAUUCAGUCAACUCCUUAAAUUUCCAUCCGAUACAUCACACUUUUGCUACUGCCGGAUCUGAUGGUGCUUUUAAUUUCUGGGACAAGGACAGUAAACAGAGGCUCAAGGCUAUGCAAAGAUGUAGUCAACCCAUACCUUGCAGUGCAUUCAAUAAUGAUGGUUCCAUAUUUGCUUACGCGGAACUAUGGAAUGCCAUAUCUAGGUCAUGAAUCUUCGUUAUCCCAAAUCUCAAAAUUAGGGUCAUCACUUGAACCCGGUCCUGCAACGUUGAUGUGGGAGCCACCACGCUUGGAAGAUCAUUAGGACCCAUAUGUGUAAAUUUCACCUUAGCUAUGGAGGAACAUAAUAGAAAGAACUGUUUGUCAAGAGAGAAAGAAACUCAGAUCGUCUCAAAAUCAGAGCUAAACCAGAUGCACCACCCCUUCGGAUCUCUGCUACCUGUCUUGCAAGUUUGGUUGGUGGGUGUCACGGGAACAAGGUGAGCUACAAGCUUGGAUGCCGACAGUUUAAUGCGGUGGUGUGUGAUGAGCCUCAAAGGUUUGUUAUGAUUGGAGCAAGGGUGCAGAAAAUCACAAUCCGGCUACAGCGAAGAACUACAUUUAUUUGCACCUACCACAGGAGUCUGAGGUUAAAGGUAAGCCACGAGCUGGAGCCACGGGAAGAAAGUGAAAU